CGGGCGCCACUAUAAAUACCCGGCACGGCAGAGCGGUGUGGAACUCAGGAGUCCAUCCCCACACACACACCCACACCCACUCUUCUUCCCCCAACCGUCUCGGAUCGGAGCAGAGCAGAGGCUCUCCCUUGGCCUUCCUCCCUCUCGGCAGCAGGCUCGACCUUUGCAUGGCAGCAGUGGCUACCUCCAAGGGGCGGGUGAUCGCUGGGAGCCUCGUCGCGCGCGUCCUUGCCGGCAAGGCCGCCAACGCCUCCCCGAGGUAUGCUCACACGCCUCCUGUGAGCUCAAAGAAAGAAUCAGAGUACUAGCAUACGUACUUACGUUGGAAGUAGAUCAGUACCACUACUGCUGCUAGUUCAACAGUGCCUCCGAGAUCUAGUUGCUCCGGAGAUUUGUAAAUGGUUCCUUUUGCUGCUCUCACCUCGGCUGCCGUGGGUACUGGUUCCCCCAUCGGUUCGCCAUCACAAUCAUCAUCUUGGUAUGGAAAUUGAUUAACCCGUGUUCUGUGAAGCGGCGCUGGGGAUAGGUACGUACCGUCGUGCUGCGCUAGAACUUGCAACACAGUUUCCCAACCCAACCCAAAGUUAGAAAGAUUGUGUCUCGAGUUCUCAGUCACGUCCUCCCCGCCUUGGAAACGCUCACAAAACUUCUUUGUAAAGCAGGGCGCAAGUGCCUUUUUCUCUCUCUAAAAAAAGCUUCCGUUUCACAAACUUGUUUGGUCCCUGUAAUAAGAACAGCAAAAAUAUCUUUCAUCUCUCCUGCCCAUAUGCGUCGACGAUCCGUAGCAGCAGCACAUCAUAUGAGUAGGACGGAUGUCAAGAUAAAUCUGCAGAGCAGGAGAGAGCUCCACCACAGAAGAAGGCAGAGAAGGCCAGAUCCAUGGAGAUAUUUCUCUGCGCCUCCCAGUUGCGGCCGGCUCGUCGGAGAUGGCCAAGACAUCACCCGAGCCCCGGCGGCGAAGGGAUAGUGCAAGGAUAUUAUUCACGGCCCGGACGGGUCGGUCGCUCGUUUCUGUUUCUUUCUGGGAGAUUUUAUUGACGGCAGCGAAUGGGUGGACGGGUAGGUGCGGGGUGGUUGUCCGUCCGUCCGUCCGCCAUCUGCCGGCCUGAGCGCUCCCUUGGUUUUCACUCCAAGGAUGGGGCUGGUGCGAGGCGAGAGGUUGGUGGUGGCGCCCACGGUCGGGGUUGCCGUGAGAUCAAGGCGCGGAUGAGACCCUCGGGCCCGCGGUCUGGCCCUGCACGAUCCCACUUCUUCUGGGCUCCGGAUCUGAACCGGCCGGCGGGCGACGUGUCGUCCAUCGGGUCCCGGGGCGGACGUACUGGGUGCACGUACACGCUAGGGUGAGUAGGAUGAUGGCGCCGGUCUUAUCCACAAGACCCACCCACCCACCCACCGUCGUGCUGCCCCACCUUCUCCCGCCGUCUCUUCUUUGCUCACUGACCUAAGGCAGCCAGUGGAGUCCGGCCACAGCGCAAACGGCGUGCUUCGUGCCACCAUCAGUCACCACGCAUGGCCGGGCUCGUUCUAUGGUGCGUACCGAACUGAAAGAAAAAUUGGUUUAUGGGCGCCCACACGGCACGGCACGGCACUCUUUGCGUGAACUCGCCGUCCCGGGCACCAACAACACACUUUGUGCUGCCCACGGGAGCAGAAAAAAAUAAUAAAAAGAUGGAAAAGUGUAGCUUAAUGGCAAGCAAACGGACAGCGCACCGGUCAAGAUCUUAUGUACUCCCUCCGCCCGGUAAUAAGUGUAUUUUUUUCUUUUCUGUCAAUCAAACUAGUUAAACUUUGAUUAACUUUAUUGAAAAAGUGCUAGCAUUUAUGACAUCAGAUUAGUAUCAAUAGAUUUGCCUUUACAUGAGGUUUCCAAAUAUAUCAUUUUCAUGCCAUAUAUGUUGCUACUAUUUACUAUAAAAUUGGUCAAAUUUUUUAAAAAUUGACUAAGUACUAAUCUAUAUGUAUGCUUAUUUGUGGACGGAGGGAGUACAUAGUUAUAAUAACUUCAUUUAGUCAAUAAAAUCUUGGUAACACCCACCCACAUAUAUAGGACUUUUAAUUAACGCUCACUCAUUGGGCUGCCCUAUUGCUAGUCAAUGCAAUGGCUUAUAUAUAAUCAACUGACGCCGUGAUGCGUACGUGCAUUGUUUCAUCAUCGUUCUUUUGCAUCAUGAACGGAGUAUUUUCCUUACCAUCAAGUCAACGUGGUACCGUUGUGUAUGUAGGAUCCAACGACCUCAUUAACGAGCGAUCCGGUUUUGGUGUUUGGGUUUUGCAGGAGGGCGGUGCACGCGUCGGCCUACGACAAGAACGUGGACGAGCAGGUGCGCCCGGCCUUCGUGCCGGACGAUGUGAUCGGCGGCGCCGGGAGCCCAGACAAGUACUGGGGCCCUCACCCGACCACCGGCGUCUUCGGCCCGGCCGCGGUCGACCCCAAGCUGUCCGCCAGCCUCGCGGCGCCGGCCAGCGCCGCGAAUGGUGGCGGCGCCUCCGUGCUGGACCAGAAGGUGUGGUUCCGCCCGCUCGAGGACGUCGAGAAGCCCCCCGUCGCCUGAUCGCCGCCGGCGACCACAGCCCAGCUCGACAUCUCUAUCACUCUCCUUAGCUGGGCUCGACCACCUACUUAACUAUUAUCUCUAGUAGCGUGCUUGUGCUAUAGUACAGUCAUGGAAGGCACCAGAAGAAGAACCGGUAGUAGUGACGCGGUGUUGCUGCCUGGAAUAAGAACCUGUGAAAGAUGUGUGAUGAUGAUGACAGUGAUGUG
rnacentral:lncRNA from 1 species